AAGGCCUAGUGCAGAUCUCAGCCAAAAUAAUACAAGUUUUAGUUCCUCCCUUCUAAAUUUAUCUGUGUUAUUGUGCUCUAUACUAUCAAAAUAAGAUUUUAUUUUAAGACCUUGAGAGUGGUUUUUAUUUUCUUAAUUGAAAAUGUACCAUCUAGUUUUUAACAUGCAAAUAGCACUUUCUUGGUACUGCUCAAACCAUGCCAUUCCGAGAGCAGCAUUUAUUUUUCUACUGAAGCAAAGAGCCCCGUCACGGCUUUUGUCGUAAUGAGGAUCGGACCAAAGCGCACCGUGAGAGAGGAGGGAACUGGCAGGGGGAGACUGGCUGGAAAAAAAGAGUGAUUGAUUCUCCAAAGGGGAGGAUUUACCUGACGAUUUGGGGAGGAUUUACCUGACGAUUUGGAGAGGAAGAGGACAAACUACCUCUUGGGAAUGGCAACCAUGGAUCCGCACCACCACCUGAAAGGAGCUCUCAUCGAACUGAUAGUUAAGGCGCUGACACACCUGUGAUUUAUGUUUAUAGUUAAAAGUUACUCACCUUGUGUUACUUAUUCCUGCAAAGAAGAUGAUUUGUGUUAUCCUUGUGAGAUCAUCCUUGAUUGUGUGGGAGUGUUUGUUUUAAGAGAGAAUACCUCAAAAGAGAACUUUGUUCAAUGUAAGAACCUGCUCUCGACUAAUUUAUUCCACCUUUCCGUUUUGGAGCAACCUAAAAAGACUUGGUCUGCUCACAUAAGAUUGACUUCGAGUGUCCCCGUGUAAGAAUUUCCACGACACUUAUAAGCAGGAAUCAGGAGGAUAGAGUUAUGGUCAGAUUUUCCAAAGCGAGGGUGAGGGACAGCCUUAGUGCUGUUAACUGGUCUGGUGCCACCCUACUAGCUAUGACCUGUUCGUGCUGUCUGGUGCCAACCUGCUAGCUGGGAACUGUCAGUGCUGUUUGAGGUGGGGCCAUUGGAGUGUUAAAUACAGUGGGUCAUACAUCCUCUUUGGGUUCUAAUGCCAUUCCUCUCCAUGUUUAGAAGAUGUAUCUCAUUGUGAAAGUCAUAUUUCAUAGUUUACAGAUUGUUUUUGAGUGGAUUUUUCCUUUUAUAUAGAGCAACCACUAUAAAAAAAUAACAUAAGAUUGUUUCAGGAGUCCAAAGUGUCACUUGCCUCAUCAUAAUGAUGUAUUUUGCUUCAUAUGAUGUGUUUUGCUUCAUCAUGACGAUGUGGCAAGUGUGGCAAGUGCUUCUUGAAAGUCCAAUCUCUUGAAAACCUGACUGCUAUCAUGCAAAACAUUGUGGGACUGUAUUAACAGUAAUGAAAAAAAUACAAAAAUAUAGUUUA